AAAAAUGCAGAGGUGGAAGCAACUGAGAAAGUAUGCACAAAGACAAACGGAGGAAAGUGUCAGGGCAGAAGGUUCCGGAGCAGGGCGGGAGGAGAUGGAUACAGAGGGUAACAUGGAGAGAGAAAAUCCAAGCAGACAACCCAGAGGUCGCAAACGAGUUUUGAUUCCUUACCCGUACCCGUACCCGGCCGCACCAGGGUCGCAAACGGGUAGCCGUACCCGUACCCUACCCGAUACCCGGCUACCCGUACCCGGCCGGGUAUCGGGCAGGGUACGGGUACCCGAUUGCGACCUCUGGGAUGAAGCCAUGUUGCAGGCGCGGGUGGGUUGAUAGGAACUUGAAUUGUGAGAAGAGACAAGACGUUGGGAAAUGAGUGACAAACGGUUACUCACUAGUGACUCGCGGCCUACCCAUACCCGGCCGCACCAGGGUCGCAAACCCGGCCGGGUACGGGUAGCCGGGUAUCGGGUAGGGUAUGGGUAUCGGGUACCUGGUUGCGACCUCUGGUUCUGGCCAACGGAAUGAAGGGCCUUGAGACUCGUUGAGAUUUUGUUUCGGCAAACAAAUUGCAUUGAGGAAAUGUCAGACAAAAAUGCACAAAAAUACCUGACGGAAAAAUAACAACAACUCACAAAUAACAGUUACCGUCACGCCGCCAUUACUCUCACCGGCAUAAAAAACAAACAUUACCACUGGCACGUUUGACUACGUACGGUGCAAAAGAAGUUCAAAAUGCACACGUACAACAUAAGCGUGACAUGAAUACAAAUACAUUGAACAGCAAUAUCAACGCCAUAUGUAUAUUGUCAAUGUACACGCGCUCGCUAGCAUCGCGAUCGCUACCGUCUACAUCACCGCUAUGUUUAUCCCCCUUGCGUCAGUGUUGGCUCUUUACUCCGUCAAGAGUUCAAAUGUUGUCUCGACACGAGCGGAGAUUGAAGCAAUUUCAAGUGGUCCAUUUGCGCUCUCUGUGGGAUGGGCCCCAUUAACGAUGAACAAAUAAUAUCUACAGCGGCAUCAAUCGCCGGUAAUGCACUGAGUUUCUGACAUAGCGACAUUGAUCUGUGUGACACGAAGAGUGAAUCGGAGCUGACCCCGUGAGAGCAUGCAGCCCAGUUGGGUGGGAGUCUGACAGAUAAUAGUAGCCAUGUGUGUCUAUAGAUAUAUAAUAAAAUAAUUAGAGCGCAUUUCGCUACUGCUUAAGCGCAAGGGGCUCCAUCGUGAAGUCGGGGUGUUUUGAGUGCGUUCUUGACAUCGGUGUGGCACCACCGCGUACGUCUGGCGGGUAUUCUUACGUAAGAUUUCACAUACACAUGAACGCAGUGAUUAAUACACUGGUCAACAAAAAAAGUUUUUUUCUGGCCUGGACUUUUGCAGCUGUUUUAGUGCUGAUUCCAAAUGUGAUCUCAGAUUUGCUCUAUCACAUCUCAUUUGUAUGCUAUUGGCAUACCCCAUUUUCAUUGAUUUUACCCGAAAUUAACUCUGUCACUUAUGAUUGCAAGUUGUUGCGAGUCAGUGACUGCUUUAGUGUUAAAAUAUGGUGCUGUGUUUUUAGGAUAGUGUGUUUUUAAUAUCAUUUUACGUAGAUAUCCACAUUUAUUUAAUAUUUUUUUCUGCAGUUUUUAUUGAAAAUGCAAUAUUUGAUAUCUAAAAAACCUGAUGUGAUAGACAAAAACUGAUGCCAGAUUUGGAAUCGGCACCCCAAAAUUACCUUAAAACCCUUGGAAUAUCUUAUGCCAGAAAAAGUGUGUUGACCAGUGUUAUUUAUCUUCGGUGGUGUGUGGCAGUGGUCCCCAAAGCCAUGGCCAUCGGUCCCUGCGCCCCCCAGCGUCCGUCACUACCCCGCCACCCCCCGACGACCCCCCCAUACUCCAAGUUUCAAGAUUAUUUUGUUGAACCAGGUGAGAACUCAAGGGACCAGGGUAGAGUCUCAUUUCCCAGGGUGACCUGGAUCGUGACCAAAAUGGCAAAAGCAAAGGGCGGCAAUUAAGUGAAGCAACCAAAAAAAAACACCUCUCAAAAGAGGAAUGGAUCGGAAAUAUAUGCAAACGUAAAUCAAAUGUUAAUCGAAGCUAAACAUUUAAUUCCCUGCAGUGCAAAUCGGCACUGCCAAGGCCCCAAUACGCGGAGAGAUUACAUGUCCACGCCUCUAGUGAACGCGGUGUUGGUAAGGCAUGUGUUUCAUGCCGUGUAUCAGUGUGUUCGUAAGGUAUUUGUUUCGUGCCGUGUACCAGUGUGUUUUGUGUUCGUAAGGUAUUUGUUUCACCCUGCGUGUCGGCGUGUUCGGUCGCCGUAACGUCGCGCUGACGUUCCCUGGUGCACAUUCCAAUAUUUCUCCUGCACGAUCUCCAUGCUGCUGCCUACCUGGUGAGAGCAGGUGGGGUAGUGGUCGUCGUGGUGGUGUGGUGGUGGUGGGGGGGUAAAAUCCAUAUGUUGACGACCGCUGCACUAACGAACGCUCGGAAUGCUUGUAACUGUCUCAACUAAAAUCUGACCAAAAUCAGCCCCGCACAGCCGGUGCGUUGGUGUUGAUGGUUUGAGAGGCUCGACUUCGAUUGGGACCUGAUGGACCGUGGGCCGGGGUGGUCAGCAUGAAUGUGUCCCCCUGCGGUUUUCCCUAUGCAAACCGGAUCAGAGUUGGAUUAAUGUGGCCAGGUGCAGAAAUCUGUACCUGACGCGGCAAAACUUUAGUUCGUACCGAUUUAUUUAUACGGCUACUACUACGAGCGAACUGUACGACAACCCCGCUCAUUGCAAACGGAUAUCGCGUCGUUCACAGUCUGUUGGCCGCAUCAACACAUCGCAAGCAUGAGAGUGGGGGCCACCUCGUGUGGUGCCGUUCGAUGAGGCAUCUGCUCCGGCCUCUUAGACUACUGUUGCGUGUCGCAUGUUCGUAGUUGCGCUCUGUGGUUCGAGGACUCGGAAAACAGCGACCAAUUGAAAUGUUAUUUGUGCUCACGUGCUGUUUGUUAUAUUUAUAUGCGUGUAACAAAAAAUCUGGUAAUACCGUAUUUUCUGGAUUAUAAGACGCAAACUUUUUUUUUUUACCUGACUUUUAAAGCAACAGUUUGGGGGUUGUGUCUUGUAAAUCUGGUAGCUGUCCGCGUGCUUGUGCGUAACCGGAUUUGUGUAACUCUCUUUAGACCGGGCACAAGUUUGAGGUGCGUCUGAUGUUCCGGAGCAUCUUAUAAUCUGGAGAAUACGGUAAUAUUAUAAUUGUCCACACAACGGCGCGACACUUAAAAGAUAAUAAUGCAACUCAAGAGAUUCAGGAAAUAACACAUGCAACACAGCUGCCAGUAGAAAUAAGAUGUUUUUGUAAUAUCCUAUAUAUUUACAAAAUGAACAUACAAUGAAUUUCAUAUGGAGACUUUCACGACCAAUACAGUAAAACCUUGGGUUGCGAGCAUAAUUCGUUCCGGAAACGUGUUUGCAAUCCAAAGCACCCGUAUAUCAGUUGUGAUCACGUGACGCUCGGCAGACAAAGCGUACGCACGUACUACUCGCAUUGCAAGACCUCGCUCGUUUAUCAAAUAAAUAUUUACUUAAAAUUUUUGCUCGUCUUGCAAAACACUCGCAGCCCAAGUUACUCGCAAUCCAAGGUUUUACUGUACUAUGAUUCAUAACUGGUGGCUUUUGGGUUAGACCUCCUAUGUGUAAUGUCAAUUCCAGCUGCAACCCCCCCAAAACAGAACAGAGCCACACAAACCAAGUUGUCACUUGGACAGAUGUGCCAAUGAAUGAGGGUCGCUGGAUCACGUGUCCUGGCUCUCUCCAGAAGGCGGUACAGCAGGCGGACUAAUCGCCGCGCGUUUCCAUCUGUACGGGGCGAGUGUUGGCCCCCAUCUUUAAAAUAAGGAAACCCAUUGUUUGAGCAGGACCCUCCUGAAAAAAAUGUCACGUGGCUCGGUGCGGAUGAAUAAGUUCAAACGUUAACCAAAGUUGAUUUUGUAAGCGGUUAACAUCGCAGAGCAAGAAAAUGUUGGCGAUAUGUGAAAUCGACUGGCACGUUUGACCACGUGACAACUUCAUUUGUUUGGCUUUGAUGGAUGCAUGGCUCUAUUUGACAUCAUAUCUGCACGGUCCGACCCAAUAGAAACCAAUUACGAACGUGCAAUUGUUAUGGGGGGACUUCAAACUAGCAUCGGUUUCAAACACGUUUAUACUCUAUUCGUACAGCUUACGUCCACGAGGUUAUAAUACGCAAGGACUUUUUUUCUUUUGCGCGGGAUGUUGUGAGCCCACAGCUGUUUACGGGAAGCGUGGCUAAGUGUUAACGUCAGUGUAUCGUUCUGAGACAAUCUUGAAACACACACUGGAAUAACUAUGAAUUAAUCAUAAUUUACAAAUGAUGUUUAGUUUUGUAUAGUGCUGUUGUUAACGCAAAUUGCAUCUCACGAUCGCCGAGGAACCAGAGGCAAAGCUUAAAGGCAGCAGCCAGAUGGUGAGCCGGCACUACCAACAAUUACCCAAGCUCGGCCAUCCUCUAUAUAUCAAAAUGUUUUCAUGGUGAAAACACGUAAAAUGCGAGGGGGACAACGCUCUAUCCCAUACAGAAGCGACAGAUGAUAUUCCGUCCCCAUUUUGCUGUACCGCCUUCUCCUGGCGAGCCAGGAUUAAUGUGGUCCCGAGGCCCCGUGGGAAGGGAGCAUCGCAACAUGUGUGCGAUCCACACCAACCCUUCACGUCUCCGGGUUACAGGCGUGCGUAGCCGCCACCGCCUGGCUAAACACAGAAGGCCAUUGAGUAACUGAGAUGCUAACUUAACACCGACCAGUAUGUGUGUAUUAUUUAUUUGUUACGCACUUGCACGUCUACUGCUCGCGAAUACUGACAGUAAGAGUAUAUUUUAUUUAGUUGCGGCCAUUUGGCUCGUAAUGUUUUCAUGUAUUGUUCUUAUUCUUUGAAUUAUUGAAACUGUUAAACGACGCAAAAACUUGUAUUUUACCAGGUAAGGCCCACUGAGCUGUAUAGCUCAGAACGGAUCUGGCUAUCACAAAUGCUAGCCCAACGAAGUGGCUUGCCACGCGGACAUUUCUAGCAGCCAAAUGCUCGAAACGCACGUUUCUAAAUUGUUAAUUGUUGGCCGGGUAGCUCAGUGGUCGCCUCGCUUGCACCCGAGUCAGAUUUCACACCGCGCCCAGCUUUCAUCUCCCCUGUGCCGGUCGGAUAACGUCCACGCGAGAAUGACAGCUCCAUUCAGACGCGUCACCUUGCAAGAUAAGAAAAUAAAAUACCGGAGCGUAUUCCUGCGUAGCUGCAACUCCCCCCCCCCCCCCCGGAGGUGAGACUACCUAUGGGCUCUUAGCUCGUUAACUAGACGGCAUGGAUGUACAGCAAGGUGUCGCUGAGCCAUAUCCCCGCGGUACAGCGCCCCACUGCUGGCUUACUCGGCGUUCAAUGCAAACACAGGCAGGUGCAUGCGGGAGCAUCGCUUUUCAUUGGGAGGUCCAAGCACGCGGGAGACACACGCGCUGGUAAAUGCCAAAGAGUUACCGCAUUGAGAUCUAUGUUGCGUGUCUGCCAAGAUAUUUUUUGCUUCAAGAGCGAAAUAUUCAGCGGAGAGCCCCCCCCCCCCCCCCACAUGCCCCCAGUGGGCCAAUUUGUCCGCAGCGAUGUUGUUUAUUAUGCCCCUCGCUGUACUAAGUGAAUUUUACUUCAAGUUUGAAGAACUCUGUUUUGUAAAAUGUACGAGUAAUAAUAAAAAAGGCAAUUCAUAACGUGCAAAUAUUUCACGAAUUGGGCGCAAUAUUCUAUUGAGAGCUCGGAGGCACGUAGCCAGAGCUCAAUAUCCCUCGUACGCAGCUUGAGCCAGCUGAGAGCCUGAACCAGGUGAGAGUCUGAACCAGGUGAGAGACUGAACCAGGUGAGAGUCUGAACCAGGUGAGAGUCUGAACCAGGUGAGAGCCUGAACCAGGUGAGAGUCUGAACCAGGUGAGAGCCUGAACCAGGUGAGAGCCUGGACCAGGUGAGAGUCUGACCCAGGUGAGAGCCUGGACCAGGUGAGGGCCUGAACCAGGUGAGAGCCUGAACCAGGUGAGAAUCUGAACCAGGUGAGAGCCUGAAUCAGGUGAGAGUCUGAACCAGGUGAGAGCCUGAACCAGGUGAGAGCCUGAACCAGGUGAGAGCCUUGAGCUGCUGCUUAGAGGUGGAUGGUGGAGCUUGGAUGCCGCUGUGAAUGUGCAGUGGGAGAGAGAGAGUUUCAGAUGAACGGUGCAGCUACGGAGAACCGUCGCUCAGCAAAAAACAUUCCUGGUUCUGGGUACAAUGAGUCGGUUGUUUGAUGAACUCCGUAGGAGGUGGUGGUUUGCUGUAGUCGGUGGAGUCCGAAGGGCAGAGGGAAGACUUUGAAAAUAUGUUUGUCUUGAUGCGAUGUUAUCAUAUCAGAGAAUAUUUUUUUGUUGCCAGCUCUUGCGUGCAGGAACAACAACAUGCACAAUAUCAUUGCACACUUUAAUAUGUUUGAGUCUUAUUUGAAUUGGCAGUUGUACAAAAAGGGGGCUCGUUUCUCUCAAAGGUGUAAAAAACAAAAACGAAUCAUCCCAAGAUCCCUCUCCUGUCCCACGAAUCAACCGCGUACCAUUUAUCCAGAAACAAUUUGCAACCACUGGCUUGGAUGCAUGCUAACACUUGGGUACCUAGCUCGUAUUUACAUUUUAAGAGGUAGUAGGUACGUUGUUACAAUGUCAAAAAAGCUGCUAGCAGUUAAAUAGCUUUAUCUACUCUUGUUAGUUUAUUGCUAGUUGGUUAAUAAACUCUAUGAAUGAAGCAUGUUUUAAUCGAAAUGUUAUAUGACUACGCACUUUACGGUACAACCAGCAGUAAUGGGUCAUAUGUUUUUUAUUUUACUACAUUGCUAGAGAAAAUAAUCCAGACGAUAUAUUGUUAAUACAAAUCCUUAUAAUCUUUAAAAUAUAUAUAUAUAUACGCCGCGUGAGUUGAGGAGUGCUUGUUUGUGGAUGAUUUGAACUUGAUAAAAAAAAAAAAACAUGUUAACCGUGUGAAAAACAAGGGUUAUUUGUAUUUCAGUGUCGGUUGCGUGACACCGGCUGCAUGUUACUUUGUGUCCCCUGCCACUUGGCUGGGUCUGCGUGUUUUCACGACAGAUGCCUGAACAGCUUGCGAGCCCCCCCCCACCCCCCGCGCCCCCCCCAACCCAAAAUCAAAGCACCCCCCACAAUGCACCGCCAAUAAAUCAUAUUCAUGUCAAGCGUGGCAAUCACGUGGUAGAUUAUGCACGUGCCCUUUUGGGAAAUGGAAAACGACGGGUGGCGCUUUAAAGUUGGCAUCGAGCAAUUUUCGUACCGCCCGUGACUUCUGUUGCGAUGCGCUUGAUUUCAAACGUGUGUUACCGAUACAGUAUGUUGACAUGCUUGCCUGGAGAGAUAACAACAA